CACGUAGGGUGCGAGCGUUGUCCGGAAUUAUUGGGCGUAAAGAGCUCGUAGGCGGUGUGUCGCGUCGGCCGUGAAAACCUGCAGCUUAACUGUGGGCUUGCGGUCGAUACGGGCAUCACUGGAGUUCGGUAGGGGAGACUGGAAUUCCUGGUGUAGCGGUGAAAUGCGCAGAUAUCAGGGGGAACACCGGUGGCGAAGGCGGGUCUCUGGGCCGAUACUGACGCUGAGGAGCGAAAGCGUGGGGAGCGAACAGG
rnacentral:rRNA from 1 species